AUAUUUCUGUUAAAUUUGUUGACGGCGUGCUAAAUUGGCAAGUCAGCUAAAACAUUUUUAAUUAAUUCUAAAGUCAAUGAAAGUUUGGUGUUUUUUUUGUCAGCCCAAAAGUUUAUGUUUCUUUUGGCAAUUUGUGCAAAGUAGUGGUUUUUUUUUGGCCGAAUUCUCGAUAAUAAAUAGUCUUGAUAAUGUUUUUAUCGUCGUUAAUCUGAUAAAGACAUACAUAUUCCAACAAAUUAUUAUUUGUUAUAAGAUAAACAUUUAAAUGAUCAUCCACUCCUUUACCAAUUCAAGCAUUAUGAUCAUCUACUCAUCAAACACUAUAAUCACCCACUCA
rnacentral:lncRNA from 1 species